UACCAGUGGAGAGAGGAGGGCACAAGCAGUUUGCCUCAACAGAACGUAAGCCCAAGCAGGCCCGUACCGAGAACUCAAUAGACACAAGCAUGGGAGGAAUGAGGGACUCCGGAGGCAAACGUUGGUGGAGGCGCUUGGACGAGGCACUGCAGCCAGCAGCGAGCCAGGGAAGGCUCCGAGCAGAAGAGGGGCCUGAGGGAAGGCACACAGGGGCGCUCAGAGGGAGCCCAGAGUCAGACACAGGAAAAAACCAGCUCAGCCCAGCCUUCUGUUAUUCAACCCCUCCAUGCUCUGUGGGAAGAGGGUACACAGAAUCCCUGAAUUCAGUCAUUAAUAGCAGAUGCAGAGACCUUUCUAACUUGGAGGCUUAGAU
rnacentral:lncRNA from 10 species